rnacentral:rRNA from 1 species
CAGUCGCCGCGGGAAAACGUAGGGCGCAAGCGUUAUCCGGAAUUAUUGGGCGUAAAGAGCUCGUAGGCGGUUUGUCGCGUCUGCCGUGAAAGUCCGGGGCUCAACCCCGGAUCUGCGGUGGGUACGGGCAGACUAGAGUGAUGUAGGGGAGACUGGAAUUCCUGGUGUAGCGGUGAAAUGCGCAGAUAUCAGGAGGAACACCGAUGGCGAAGGCAGGUCUCUGGGCAUUAACUGACGCUGAGGAGCGAAAGCAUGGGGAGCGAACAGGAUUAGAUACCCCCGUAGUCCCUGUCUCUUAUCA